GGUAUCGCCGUUAGUCAUGUGCAAAUAUGGAUAGCUGUUUUAGCCGUCUUUAUUGACUGGUUUAUAAGAGUUAUCAGAUAUCACUUUGAUUAAAUUAGAGUGCUUAAAGCAAGUGUGUUACUUGGAUAUAAAUGCAUGGAAUGAUGGAAUAUGUUGUUAUUCUAUUUGUUGGUUUUUGAAUGAUAAAAUGAUUGAAAGGAACUGUUGGGGGCAUUCGUAUUGUUGUGAGAGAGGUGAAAUUCUUAGACCACAGCAAGACGAACUACUGCGAAAGCAUUUGCCAAGAAUGUUUUCAUUGAUCAAGAACGAAAGUUAGAGGUUCGAAGGCGAUCAGAUACCACCCUAGUUCUAACCAUAAACUAUGCCAACUAGCAAUUUGCUUUGUAUUUUUUAUGACUAAGUGAGAGGCCACGGGAAACCUAAGUAGGGUUAUGGGGGAAGUAUGGUUGCAAAGCUGAAACUUAAAGGAAUUGACGGAAGGGCACCACCAGGAGUGGAGCCUGCGGCUUAAUUUGACUCAACACGGGAAAACUUACCUGGUCCUGACACUAGAAGGAUUGACAGAUUGAUAGCUCUUUCUUGAUUUGGUGGAUGGUGGUGCAUGGCCGUUCUUAGUUGGUGGAGUGAUUUGUCUGGUUAAUUCCGAUAACGAACGAGACUCUAGCCUAUUAAAUAAUACACGGAAUUUUAUCUUCCGCGGUAUUUCUUAGUGGGAUCAAGCG
rnacentral:rRNA from 1 species